CAGCACACAAAUGAAAAAGGUCAUGCUGACAGUAUUUAAACACAAUCAUGGUGCUUACCAGUUCUUUAGGGAUGCUUUACAGUUUGAGAUUGACGAAACGUCACCCAGUAUGUCCGGUUGCUGUGGAGAAGACUGCUCCUAUGAGAUUCUGAGCCGGAGAACAAAGUACGGCGAGGCCUCGGGACAUGCGCAUGGGGGCGGCCACUGUGGAGGCUGCUGCCAUUAAGAGCGAGCCUUCCUCUGUUGUUUCAGAGCUUCCUCAUCCUCAUUCCCUACCCUGCUCCAUCACCCACGACCCCCUCUUAGAAAGCCCUUAAAACAGUCUCUCCUGCCCAUAAUCAACAAUGAAACCCCCUCUAUGCUUGCUCUUGGUUUUUAAACUCAAAAAGCUCAUUCACCAUUUCACAUAGUAAGUGACGUAUUUAGUCUCAUAAAGGUUUGAAUGACAGAAAUGGCAGUAAAGACCACUGUGAGCCACUUUCUCACCUCAGGUAUCAGCAUGGUGAGGCUCAACUCUGUCUUUGCAUUUUGUCUAGAUGCAAAAAGAGCCUGCGUUUUUUUUUUCCUCCUCCAGAAAUUGUCUGUCACCCAUCAGCUGUUUUAUUACCAUAGUGAGCGAAUGCAGGUGUUGGUGACAGUGGUUGUUACAGCCAUUCCACUCUAUACCACUUUUCAGGGUAAAUGUAUUUUAACUAAAAGCUGUCGUUUGCUUAUCACUUAAAGAAACAGAAUAUGACGAUCUGUACUGUUUAUAAUUAGUAAUCACUGAACCUAGACUGUCUCAGGUCAUUCAACUUGUAACAAAAUGUUUUAUAACAGCUGUAUUGGGGAACUGGUGGAUUGGAAUUAUGUUGAUGUUUGAUUUGAUACAGGGGUUGGCAUGUUAGUUAUGGUGGACCCUUAGUAUAGAAAUAUACUUAAAUUUUUUUUUUAUCAUAACAUU